rnacentral:rRNA from 1 species
GUGGGCCCUCGAAAUCCUGUGGCGAGAGGAUUCAGUCUGGAGGAGUCGGAGGUGCAGACCGGAAAGAACGAGGUAGGGCUUCCCCCGACGGGGGCCGUCCGGUCGCACGUUCAACUCCGGCCCGCCAGACGCAUUUGUCUCUCGUCCGAAGGACGCCGCAGCCGGUUGGGUAGUUGCAAGCGCGACGGCCAGAAAGGGGAACGAUGGCAGUUGGCCGGUGGCUCGCCCUCGCGGUGGACCGCCGGUUGCUAGCCGGUUCCUCGGUGGCCGUCACCCGACCGUGGUGUCGCUAGGCCCUUAGCGGGCCGUUCCGUCUCCCUCCCCGUGACGCCGGGACUGAUAGGCGCGGAUGGGACACGCCGUCCCGUCGCACCGCACGAGCGGUGGACGGGCGCGCGGGAGUUCCCUUCGUCGGCGCAGACGUACCCGCGGGAGUGCCGGAGGCUUGCGGCGAGUAGGUCGGUCACCCACCCGACCCGUCUUGAAACACGGACCAAGGAGUCUAACAUGUGCGCGAGUCAAUGGGACUUGAAUAGGCCCAGAGGCGCAAUGAAAGCGAAGGCGAGGCACGAGCCCGCCGAGUUGGGAUCCCCGUCCUCGCGGCGGGGCGCACCAACGACCCGUCCUAUCCGGCUCGCCGGUUGGGCGGAGUGUGAGCGCACACGUUGGGACCCGAAAGAUGGUGAACUAUGCCCGGACAGGACGAAGCCAGAGGAAACUCUGGUGGAGGUCCGCAGCGGUUCUGACGUGCAAUCGAUCGUCAGAUCCAGGUAUAGG